rnacentral:rRNA from 1 species
GGGGAAUCUUGCGCAAUGGGGGGAACCCUGACGCAGCGACGCCGCGUGCGGGACGGAGGCCUUCGGGUCGUAAACCGCUUUCAGCAGGGAAGAGUCAAGACUGUACCUGCAGAAGAAGCCCCGGCUAACUACGUGCCAGCAGCCGCGGUAAUACGUAGGGGGCAAGCGUUAUCCGGAUUUACUGGGUGUAAAGGGAGCGUAGACGGAUUAGCAAGUCUGAUGUGAAAGGCAGGGGCUCAACCCCUGGACUGCAUUGGAAACUGCCAGUCUUGAGUGCCGGAGAGGUAAGCGGAAUUCCUAGUGUAGCGGUAAAAUGCGUAGAUAUCGGGAGGAACACCAGUGGCGAAGGCGGCCUACUGGGCACCAACUGACGCUGAGGCUCGAAAGUGUGGGUAGCAAACAGGAUUAGAUACCCUGGUAGUCCACACCGUAAACGAUGAUUACUAGGUGUUGGAGGAUUGACCCCUUCAGUGCCGCAGUUAACACAAUAAGUAAUCCACCUGGGGAGUACGACCGCAAGGUUGAAACUCAAAGGAAUUGACGGGGGCCCGCACAAGCAGUGGAGUAUGUGGUUUAAUUCGACGCAACGCGAAGAACCUUACCAAGUCUUGACAUCCUGCGACGAUGCUGGAAACAGUAUUUUCCUUCGGGACGCAGAGACAGGUGGUGCAUGGUUGUCGUCAGCUCGUGUCGUGAGAUGUUGGGUUAAGUCCCGCAACGAGCGCAACCCUUACUGUCAGUUACUACGCAAGAGGACUCUGGCAGGACUGCCGUUGACAAAACGGAGGAAGGUGGGGAUGACGUCAAAUCAUCAUGCCCUUUAUGACUUGGGCUACACACGUACUACAAUGGCGUUAAACAAAGAGAAGCAAGACCGCGAGGUGGAGCAAAACUCAGAAACAACGUCCCAGUUCGGACUGCAGGCUGCAACUCGCCUGCACGAAGUCGGAAUUGCUAGUAAUCGUGGAUCAGCAUGCCACGGUGAAUACGUUCCCG